AGUGAACGCUGGCGGCAGGCCUAAUACAUGCAAGUCGAACGGCAGCACAGUGGCGCUUGCUCCAUGGGUGGCGAGUGGCGGACGGGUGAGGAAUACAUGGGAAUCUGCCCAGUCGUGGGGGAUAACGUAGGGAAACUUACGCUAAUACCGCAUGCGCCCUUCGGGGGAAAGCCGGGGACCUUCGGGCCUGGCGCGAUUGGAUGAGCCCAUGUUCGAUUAGCUAGUUGGCGGGGUAAAGGCCCACCAAGGCGACGAUCGAUAGCUGGUCUGAGAGGAUGAUCAGCCACACUGGGACUGAGACACGGCCCAGACUCCUACGGGAGGCAGCAGUAGGGAAUAUUGGACAAAGGGCGCAAGCCUGAUCCAGCCAUGCCGCGUGAGUGAAGAAGGCCCUCGGGUUGUAAAGCUCUUUUGUCCGGGAAGAAAAGCAUCGGGCUAAUACCUCGGUGUUCUGACGGUACCGGAAGAAUAAGCACCGGCUAACUUCGUG
rnacentral:rRNA from 1 species